CUCGUAGGCGGCCAACUAAGUCACACGUGAAAUCCCUCAGCUUAACUGGGGAACUGCGUGUGAUACUGGAUGGCUUGGAUCCGGGAGAGGGAUGCGGAAUUCCAGGUGUAGCGGUGAAAUGCGUAGAUAUCUGGAGGAACACCGGUGGCGAAGGCGGCAUCCUGGACCGGUAUUGACGCUGAGGAGCGAAAGCCAGGGAGCAACG
rnacentral:rRNA from 1 species